rnacentral:rRNA from 1 species
UACGUAGGGUGCGAGCGUUGUCCGGAAUCAUUGGGCGUAAAGAGCGUGUAGGCGGCCAGAAAAGUCCGCUGUGAAAACUCGAGGCUCAACUUCGAGCUGUCGGUGGAAACUUUCUGGCUAGAGUCCGGAAGAGGAGAAUGGAAUUCCUGGUGUAGCGGUGAAAUGCGCAGAUAUCAGGAAGAACACCCGUGGCGAAGGCGGUUCUCUGGGACGGUACUGACGCUGAGACGCGAAAGCGUGGGGAGCGAACAGG